GUUGGGGAGCAGAAGGAGACCUGGAGGAGGCAUGUGGAGCGGAGAGACACGUGAAGAAGCUGCGCUUGCCUUUUGGUCCUGGACUGGUUGACACAGACGUGGAGGGUAAACGGUGCUUGCAUUUCUGCCAAAGUUCUACACCCACAUCUAAACAGAAGUCCUGGAUUCCCUGUUGCUUUGACUGAAAUUUUCCACUGAAACCAUCCUCUCAUGCUCAAAUGUGACCAACCAGUGGCCACAAGAUAAACUCUGAACUUCUAGAAGCCCUGUGUAGUGGGACUUGCAGCUUCACCCAUGGCCCUGUGUCUAGGAUGACAGCUCAUCAGGUAGACCUUGGAAGUCCUGCCGAAAAGGACAGCAGCUAUCCUGUAUGCCUGGAAACACCUGAUUCCUUCUUGGUGGAGAAGAAUUUGAAAAAUCUGGCAUCACAGCAUUCUGAGGCAGCUGGGGAAAGAGCAGGACCUUUGCUCCAAGUUUUUUAGGCAAGCAGCUGAAUGUCGGUCUCAGCAGGCUGAAAUCAAGGUGUUGGCCAGUGAGGCUUCCUUCCUGGAGGUUUUAGGAGCAAGAGCUUCUUUGCCUUGUCCAGCUUCUAGAUGCUGCCACCAUCCCUUGCCCUGAGGAUUAAUUCCACUUUCAAGGGGCCCGUCUUCUAUGAACAGACCAACCUGGAAAUAAUACAGUGAUAUGACAAAUGCCCUGAUGGAAGUGUGGACAAGGCUGCCUCUGCCUGGGCCUGGAAGUUCAAAGAAGUGGGGUGAUUUCCUUGUUUCCUGGGAGCCUGCUUCUGCAUUGCAGAGUGAAUGAAAACCCUAGAACCUUAUUCCUGGAUUAACUGGGGUGAUUGACAACCAGAUCAGCAUCCACAUUGACCAAGCCUCACAUCUUCUGGUCCAGGAUUCCGUACUGCAGGCUCCACGGCAGGGAAGGCUCCGCGUAACACCAGACGCCUGAGUUUCCCGGCAGACAGCACAUUAAAGCGACGUCUGUUGGCCAGCUGCAGAGACAGGAAUCUGCUUCUCCCCCCGACCUGAUAUUUAGCUGUAAAAAUCCCUCUUUGAGCGGCCUCAGUGAUUUUCCACAAGCCAUACCCAUGCUCCACCCUCUGGGCCUCUUACACAUGCAUGGGUCACUUCCUGCAGGAUUUCAGCUCGGACCUGCUCCUGGUGGAGGCUGCUUGGUGGUCAUCUGAUUCCUCUACAUCUUGAAAGAUCAAUGGGGCUGCAACAUCCAGUGGGCACUUGGCAAAAGUUAAAAGAGAAACAGUAAGAGGUUGGUCCCCAGGGAGAAGGGAGGUGAAUUUCCUUACCUGCCUGAGCCAUGGAGUCGUCCAAAAAGUCCUGUGGAUCCUUAAGUCACCAACCGGAUCUUGAUUCAGAAAUGAGACUUUCCAGAUGUAUUUAAUACGCAAAAUUCCAAACUUGAUUUAAGGUUACAUUUUUUGCCUCCCCCACAUGGGAAUUGCUGCAGACAGGAAGCAGGGGAGGAGGUAUGGUCUCC